UCUGGUAUUGAUUGGUGCUUGCAUCAUGAUUUACAUUUGAGUGAGUGGCGAACUGGUGAGUAACACGUGGGAAACCUGCCCAGAAGCGGGGGAUAACACCUGGAAACAGAUGCUAAUACCGCAUAACAACUUGGACCGCAUGGUCCGAGUUUGAAAGAUGGCUUCGGCUAUCACUUUUGGAUGGUCCCGCGGCGUAUUAGCUAGAUGGUGGGGUAACGGCUCACCAUGGCAAUGAUACGUAGCCGACCUGAGAGGGUAAUCGGCCACAUUGGGACUGAGACACGGCCCAAACUCCUACGGGAGGCAGCAGUAGGGAAUCUUCCACAAUGGACGAAAGUCUGAUGGAGCAACGCCGCGUGAGUGAAGAAGGGUUUCGGCUCGUAAAACUCUGUUGUUAAAGAAGAACAUAUCUGAGAGUAACUGUUCAGGUAUUGACGGUAUUUAACCAGAAAGCCACGGCUAACUACGUGCCAGCAGCCGCGGUAAUACGUAGGUGGCAAGCGUUGUCCGGAUUUAUUGGGCGUAAAGCGAGCGCAGGCGGUUUUUUAAGUCUGAUGUGAAAGCCUUCGGCUCAACCGAAGAAGUGCAUCGGAAACUGGGAAACUUGAGUGCAGAAGAGGACAGUGGAACUCCAUGUGUAGCGGUGAAAUGCGUAGAUAUAUGGAAGAACACCAGUGGCGAAGGCGGCUGUCUGGUCUGUAACUGACGCUGAGGCUCGAAAGUAUGGGUAGCAAACAGGAUUAGAUACCCUGGUAGUCCAUACCGUAAACGAUGAAUGCUAAGUGUUGGAGGGUUUCCGCCCUUCAGUGCUGCAGCUAACGCAUUAAGCAUUCCGCCUGGGGAGUACGGCCGCAAGGCUGAAACUCAAAGGAAUUGACGGGGGCCCGCACAAGCGGUGGAGCAUGUGGUUUAAUUCGAAGCUACGCGAAGAACCUUACCAGGUCUUGACAUACUAUGCAAAUCUAAGAGAUUAGACGUUCCCUUCGGGGACAUGGAUACAGGUGGUGCAUGGUUGUCGUCAGCUCGUGUCGUGAGAUGUUGGGUUAAGUCCCGCAACGAGCGCAACCCUUAUUAUCAGUUGCCAGCAUUAAGUUGGGCACUCUGGUGAGACUGCCGGUGACAAACCGGAGGAAGGUGGGGAUGACGUCAAAUCAUCAUGCCCCUUAUGACCUGGGCUACACACGUGCUACAAUGGAUGGUACAACGAGUUGCGAACUCGCGAGAGUAAGCUAAUCUCUUAAAGCCAUUCUCAGUUCGGAUUGUAGGCUGCAACUCGCCUACAUGAAGUCGGAAUCGCUAGUAAUCGCGGAUCAGCAUGCCGCGGUGAAUACGUUCCCGGGCCUUGUACACACCGCCCGUCACACCAUGAGAGUUUGUAACACCCAAAGUCGGUGGGGAACCUUUAG
rnacentral:rRNA from 2 species